rnacentral:pre_miRNA from 1 species
UGAGUAUUACAUCAGGUACUGAGGAAUGUCUCGGUCAGUACCUUCUGUCAUAUUCUAA